rnacentral:rRNA from 1 species
GGGAAUAUUGCGCAAUGGAGGAAACUCUGACGCAGUGACGCCGCGUAUAGGAAGAAGGCCUUCGGGUUGGAAAGUACUUUCAGCGGGGAGGAAGGGAGUAAAGUUAAUACCUUUGCUCAUUGACGUUACCCGCAGAAGAAGCACCGGCUAACUCCGUGCCAGCAGCCGCGGUAAUACGGAGGGUGCAAGCGUUAAUCGGAAUUACUGGGCGUAAAGCGCACGCAGGCGGUUUGUUAAGUCAGAUGUGAAAUCCCCGGGCUCAACCUGGGAACUGCAUCUGAUACUGGCAAGCUUGAGUCUCGUAGAGGGGGGUAGAAUUCCAGGUGUAGCGGUGAAAUGCGUAGAGAUCUGGAGGAAUACCGGUGGCGAAGGCGGCCCCCUGGACGAAGACUGACGCUCAGGUGCGAAAGCGUGGGGAGCAAACAGG